UAUUUGCCCUGUAUUUUGCGCAUUUUACAGAAGUACUCGAUGUUAUGUAAAAUGCGCACAGUCUGGCAACGACAUGCAAGCAGCAUGACACCGCAACUGUGUUUACUCUUAUUCAACAGCAGCAUCAUCAUCAACUCUACACAACUCUAGCUCCAACUCCAGCUCCGACUGCAGCCAGCUGCCACCCAACGUCAGGCACAACUUCAUUUGCAAUGCAAACGCAACGAGUGAGUGGAUUGGAGUGGAUUGAAGCGUGCGUGAGUGGGAGAGAGAGUUGGUGUCGCAAGCAGCGUGGAGAGUGUCUUGUGUAAUCAACUAAUUACAACGGCCGCCCAAUGCCUGGCACCAGCCAGCCGACUGCCGCCCGUCGCACCCCACACACCCGUCGCGCCAACAGAAAAUUUAUCUUGUUAAAGUGACUUUUUAGCGUUUGCCUUCCGACCGCCCGCCCGUCCGCUCAUCCAUCUGCUGUUGCUGCAUCAUUUCAAGGAGUUCAUCAUUAGAGACAAUUGAGUAGCACUCAAUCGUUGUAGCCCGCCACUCAAAUCAAUCAAUCAAUGGAGAGAGAGAGAGAGAGAGACAGAGAGCGAGCAGAGCAAAAGCUGUCCAGUUUGAGCUGAUGUUCUUUUUAUUAUUCUUAUUUCCGGUUCAGGAUUUUCGUUGAUUUCGCCUUCACCCUGAAAUGCCAAGCGCUCCGUUUGCCACUGUAAAUUGAUACUUUUUUUGGGUCUCACAUUUUUUUCUUCCAAAGAGCAUGAUGCAAAAAAAAAAAAACCCGAAUAACAUAGCAGGCGCGAGCGAGAGGGAGAGUGCGAGAGAGGGGAGACAAAUUGGAACGCGGCACUUGGUCUUGGAACUCAUCUGCCCUGCAUAUUAAUAAUGGUGGACUAAUUGGAUAUUAAUGCUGGGUUUUCAUUUCAUUACAUGACCGAAUUAUGUCCCCAGGCAAAUGAAAUUAGAAUGACACUCAAUCAAGACGAGGCAGAGAUUCAAAUGUUGAGUAUUCUUCGCAAGAGUUAAGCAAAUUGUUUGCGUACAACAAAUCAUAUUAUCUGACGGGAGCGAAUGAAAAUGAAUACUGUGUGGAAAAUAUAUUCAUUUAAGCUUUAAAGUGAAUGCCUUGCCCUAAUUCACAUCCUCUAAGUUCGAACAGCUCAGCUUUCUGUAGUUCUUCUAGUCUCUGAGUUCGAAGCGAGAUGUUCAGGAUGAUCAGGAAUAUAUAUGUAUAUGAAUAUACUCACAUACAUUCACAUGCUUAGGUCUCAACUUUAUGUAACCUCUUUUUUUUUUGAUAAUUUUGUUUUUUAAACACAUUUUAUGGGCUUUUAAAUACAAGUGAAUAACUGCCGCCA